rnacentral:rRNA from 1 species
ACGGUGCUGAAGCAACAAAUGCCCUGCUUCCAGGAAAAGCCUCUAAGCAUCAGGUAACAUCAAAUCGUACCCCAAACCGACACAGGUGGUCAGGUAGAGAAUACCAAGGCGCUUGAGAGAACUCGGGUGAAGGAACUAGGCAAAAUGGUGCCGUAACUUCGGGAGAAGGCACGCUGACAUGUAGGUGAAGUGAUUUACUCAUGGAGCUGAAGUCAGUCGAAGAUACCAGCUGGCUGCAACUGUUUAUUAAAAACACAGCACUGUGCAAACACGAAAGUGGACGUAUACGGUGUGACGCCUGCCCGGUGCCGGAAGGUUAAUUGAUGGGGUCAGCGCAAGCGAAGCUCCUGAUCGAAGCCCCGGUAAACGGCGGCCGUAACUAUAACGGUCCUAAGGUAGCGAAAUUCCUUGUCGGGUAAGUUCCGACCUGCACGAAUGGCGUAAUGAUGGCCAGGCUGUCUCCACCCGAGACUCAGUGAAAUUGAACUCGCUGUGAAGAUGCAGUGUACCCGCGGCAAGACGGAAAGACCCCGUGAACCUUUACUAUAGCUUGACACUGAACAUUGAGCCUUGAUGUGUAGGAUAGGUGGGAGGCUUUGAAGUGUGGACGCCAGUCUGCAUGGAGCCGACCUUGAAAUACCACCCUUUAAUGUUUGAUGUUCUAACGUGGACCCGUGAUCCGGGUUGCGGACAGUGUCUGGUGGGUAGUUUGACUGGGGCGGUCUCCUCCUAAAGAGUAACGGAGGAGCACGAAGGUUGGCUAAUCCUGGUCGGACAUCAGGAGGUUAGUGCAAUGGCAUAAGCCAGCUUGACUGCGAGCGUGACGGCGCGAGCAGGUGCGAAAGCAGGUCAUAGUGAUCCGGUGGUUCUGAAUGGAAGGGCCAUCGCUCAACGGAUAAAAGGUACUCCGGGGAUAACAGGCUGAUACCGCCCAAGAGUUCAUAUCGACGGCGGUGUUUGGCACCUCGAUGUCGGCUCAUCACAUCCUGGGGCUGAAGUAGGUCCCAAGGGUAUGGCUGUUCGCCAUUUAAAGUGGUACGCGAGCUGGGUUUAGAACGUCGUGAGACAGUUCGGUCCCUAUCUGCCGUGGGCGCUGGAGAACUGAGGGGGGCUGCUCCUAGUACGAGAGGACCGGAGUGGACGCAUCACUGGUGUUCGGGUUGUCAUGCCAAUGGCACUGCCCGGUAGCUAAAUGCGGAAGAGAUAAGUGCUGAAAGCAUCUAAGCACGAAACUUGCCCCGAGAUGAGUUCUCCCUGAGACUUUAAGUCUCCUGAAGGAACGUUGAAGACGACGACGUUGAUAGGCCGGGUGUGUAAGCGCAGCGAUGCGUUGAGCUAACCGGUACUAAUGAACCGUGAGGCUUAACCUUACA